rnacentral:rRNA from 1 species
UGGGGAAUAUUGGACAAUGGGCGCAAGCCUGAUCCAGCCAUGCCGCGUGAGUGAUGAAGGCCCUAGGGUUGUAAAGCUCUUUCACCGGUGAAGAUAAUGACGGUAACCGGAGAAGAAGCCCCGGCUAACUUCGUGCCAGCAGCCGCGGUAAUACGAAGGGGGCUAGCGUUGUUCGGAUUUACUGGGCGUAAAGCGCACGUAGGCGGACUAUUAAGUCAGGGGUGAAAUCCCGGGGCUCAACCCCGGAACUGCCUUUGAUACUGGUAGUCUUGAGUUCGAGAGAGGUGAGUGGAAUUCCGAGUGUAGAGGUGAAAUGCGUAGAGAUUAGGAGGAACACCGGUGGCGAAAGCGGCUUUUUGGCCUGCAACUGACACUGAGGCGCGAAAGCGUGGGGAGCAAACAGG